rnacentral:rRNA from 2 species
UACAGAGACUGCAAGCGUUAUUCGGAUUCACUGGGCGUAAAGGGUGCGCAGGCGGCCAAGUGUGUCAGGUGUGAAAUCCCGAGGCUUAACCUCGGAACUGCGCCUGAAACUACUUGGCUAGAGUACUGGAGAGGGUAACGGAAUUCACGGUGUAGCAGUGAAAUGCGUAGAUAUCGUGAGGAACACCAGAGGCGAAGGCGGUUACCUGGACAGUUACUGACGCUCAGGCACGAAAGCGUGGGGAGCAAAAGGG